rnacentral:rRNA from 1 species
CGAACGGGUGAGUAACACGUGGGCAACCUGCCCAAAAGAGGGGGAUAACACUUGGAAACAGGUGCUAAUACCGCAUAACCAUAGUUACCGCAUGGUAACUAUGUAAAAGGUGGCUAUGCUACCGCUUUUGGAUGGGCCGCGGCGCAUUAGCUAGUUGGUGGGGGUAAAGGGCUUACCAAGGCAAUGAUGCGUAGCCGAACUGAGAGGUUGAUCGGCCACAUUGGGACUGAGACACGGCCCAAACUCCUACGGAAGGCAGCAG